AGUGAACGCUGGCGGUAGGCCUAACACAUGCAAGUCGAACGGCAGCACAGUAAGAGCUUGCUCUUACGGGUGGCGAGUGGCGGACGGGUGAGGAAUACAUCGGAAUCUACUUUUUCGUGGGGGAUAACGUAGGGAAACUUACGCUAAUACCGCAUACGACCUACGGGUGAAAGCAGGGGAUCUUCGGACCUUGCGCGAUUGAAUGAGCCGAUGUCGGAUUAGCUAGUUGGCGGGGUAACGGCCCACCAAGGCGACGAUCCGUAGCUGGUCUGAGAGGAUGAUCAGCCACACUGGAACUGAGACACGGUCCAGAGUCCUACGGGAGGCAGCAGUGGGGAAUAUUGGACAAUGGGCGCAAGCCUGAUCCAGCCAUACCGCGUGGGUGAAGAAGGCCUUCGGGUUGUAAAGCCCUUUUGUUGGGAAAGAAAAGCAGCAGGUUAAUACCCCGCUGUUCUGACGGUACCCAAAGAAUAAGCACCGGCUAACUUCGUG
rnacentral:rRNA from 1 species